rnacentral:rRNA from 1 species
UACGGGGGGGGGUAAGCGUUGUUCGGAAUUACUGGGCGUAAAGGGCUCGUAGGCGGCCAACUAAGUCGGACGUGAAAUCCCUCAGCUUAACUGGGGAACUGCGUCCGAUACUGGAUGGCUUGGAUUCGGGAGAGGGAUGCGGAAUUCCAGGUGUAGCGGUGAAAUGCGUAGAUAUCUGGAGGAACACCUGUGGUGUAGACAGCUUACUGGACGAUAACUGACGCUGAGGCACGAAAGCGUGGGUAGCAAACAGG